rnacentral:ncRNA from 2 species
UGCCUGUUUGAGCGUCAUUU